rnacentral:rRNA from 1 species
AGAAUCAACGCUGGCGGCGUGCCUAACACAUGCAAGUCGAACGCGAAAGUCCCGCAAGGGAUUAGUAGAGUGGCAAACGGGUGAGUAACACGUGGGUGACCUGCCUUCGAGUGGGGGAUAACGUCCCGAAAGGGACGCUAAUACCGCAUGAUAUCCUGUCUUUGGAAAGAUGGAGAUCAAAGCUGGGGAUUCGCAAGAACCUGGCGCUUGAAGAGGGGCCCGCGCCUGAUUAGCUAAGUUGGUAGGUAACGGCCUACCAAGGCGACGAUCAGUA